rnacentral:rRNA from 1 species
GGAAUAUUGGACAAUGGGCGAAAGCCUGAUCCAGCAAUACCGCGUGAGUGAUGAAGGCCUUAGGGUUGUAAAACUCUUUCAGUGGGGAAGAUAAUGACGGUACCCACAGAAGAAGCACCUGCUCACUCCGUUCCAGCAGCCGCGGUAAUACGGAGGGUGCAAGCGUUGUUCGGAAUUACUGGGCGUAAAGAGUGCGUAGGCGGCUUGGUAAGUUGGGAGUGAAAUCCCGGGGCUCAACCUCGGAAUUGCUCUCAAAACUGCUGAGCUAGAGUAUGGUAGGGGAUAGUGGAAUUCUUAGUGUAGGGGUGAAAUCCGUAGAUAUUAAGAGGAACACCAGAGGCGGAGGCGACUAUCUGGGCCAUUACUGACGCUAAGGUACGAAAGCGUGGGGAGCAAAC